GACGAACGCUGGCGGCGUGCCUAAUACAUGCCAGUCGAACGCUGAAGAGAGGAGCUUGCUCUUCUUGGAUGAGUUGCGAACGGGUGAGUAACGCGUAGGUAACCUGCCUUGUAGCGGGGGAUAACUAUUGGAAACGAUAGCUAAUACCGCAUAACAAUGGAUGACACAUGUCAUUUAUUUGAAAGGGGCAAUUGCUCCACUACAAGAUGGACCUGCGUUGUAUUAGCUAGUAGGUGAGGUAAUGGCUCACCUAGGCGACGAUACAUAGCCGACCUGAGAGGGUGAUCGGCCACACUGGGACUGAGACACGGCCCAGACUCCUACGGGAGGCAGCAGUAGGGAAUCUUCGGCAAUGGGGGCAACGCUGACCGAGCAACGCCGCGUGAGUGAAGAAGGGUGUCGGAUCGUAAAGCUCUGUUGUAAGUCAAGAACGGGAGUGAGAGUGGAAAGUUCACACUGUGACGGUAGCUUAACAGAAAGGGACGGCUAACUACGUG
rnacentral:rRNA from 1 species